AGCGAACGCUGGCGGCAGGCCUAACACAUGCAAGUCGAACGAACCUUUCGGGGUUAGUGGCGGACGGGUGAGUAACACGUGGGAACGUGCCUUUAGGUUCGGAAUAACUCAGGGAAACUUGUGCUAAUACCGAAUGUGCCCCUCGGGGGAAAGAUUAAUCGCCUUUAGAGCGGCCCGCGUCUGAUUAGCUAGUUGGUUGAGGUAAUGGCUCACCAAGGCGACGAUCAGUAGCUGGUCUGAGAGGAUGAUCAGCCACAUUGGGACUGAGACACGGCCCAAACUCCUACGGGAGGCAGCAGUGGGGAAUCUUGCGCAAUGGGCGAAAGCCUGACGCAGCCAUGCCGCGUGAAUGAUGAAGGUCUUAGGAUUGUAAAAUUCUUUCACCGGGGACGAUAAUGACGGUACCCGGAGAAGAAGCCCCGGCUAACUUCGUG
rnacentral:rRNA from 1 species